rnacentral:rRNA from 1 species
AGUGAACGCUGGCGGUAGGCCUAACACAUGCAAGUCGAACGGCAGCACAGUAAGAGCUUGCUCUUACGGGUGGCGAGUGGCGGACGGGUGAGGAAUACAUCGGAAUCUACUUUUUCGUGGGGGAUAACGUAGGGAAACUUACGCUAAUACCGCAUACGACCUACGGGUGAAAGCAGGGGAUCUUCGGACCUUGCGCGAUUGAAUGAGCCGAUGUCGGAUUAGCUAGUUGGUGGGGUAAAGGCCCACCAAGGCGACGAUCCGUAGCUGGUCUGAGAGGAUGAUCAGCCACACUGGAACUGAGACACGGUCCAGACUCCUAAGGGAGGCAGCAGUGGGGAAUAUUGGACAAUGGGCGCAAGCCUGAUCCAGCCAUACCGCGUGGGUGAAGAAGGCCUUCGGGUUGUAAAGCCCUUUUGUUGGGAAAGAAAAGCAGCAGGUUAAUACCCCGCUGUUCUGACGGUACCCAAAGAAUAAGCACCGGCUAACUUCGUG